rnacentral:rRNA from 1 species
UAACCGCGCCACGAGUUGUAGUCACGAUUAUUGGGUCUAAAGCAUCCGUAGCUGGUUCGACAAGUCUUCGGUGAAAUCCGGCAGUAAACUGUCGGGCGUGCCGAAGAUACUAUCAGACUAGAGACUGGGAGAGGUAUGGGGUACUUCGGAGGUAGGGGUAAAAUCCUUUAAUCUCCGAGGGACCACCUGUGGCGAAGGCGCCAUACUAGAACAGAUCUGACAGUGAGGGAUGAAAGCUAGGGGAG